rnacentral:lncRNA from 1 species
UUUCUUGUUGGAGGUUUGAAAACAAAAGGUAAAAGAAACUAUGGUUGAAACUAGCCAAAAUAAACACUAAAAGAGGUGUGAAAGAUAAGGGAAAAAACUAAUUGGUAAAAUGCAAGCUAUCUAAGUGGUUUGACAAUGGAAGGUAAAGGAAAUAAGCUAUGAAAGUAAGCAAGAAAAGUAAACUAGGUGAAUCCUAAGAGUGUUUGGAUGACCACAUUCAAGGUUCCCAACAAAACACUCACUAUCCUAAGGAAAAAUUGCCUAAAAUUAUUACACACAAAUGGAAGUUUUGUAACCUAUUGGAGGCUCCCA